AUGUUAGCGGCGGACGGGUGAGUAACACGUGGGUAACCUGCCUGUAAGACUGGGAUAACUCCGGGAAACCGGGGCUAAUACCGGAUGCUUGUUUGAACCGCAUGGUUCAAACAUAAAAGGUGGCUUCGGCUACCACUUACAGAUGGACCCGCGGCGCAUUAGCUAGUUGGUGAGGUAAUGGCUCACCAAGGCGACGAUGCGUAGCCGACCUGAGAGGGUGAUCGGCCACACUGGGACUGAGACACGGCCCAGACUCCUACGGGAGGCAGCAGUGGUCAUAAGCUGUUUCCUG
rnacentral:rRNA from 1 species